rfam:Myotis lucifugus cont2.47057, whole genome shotgun sequence.
AGCCUAGUGGCUAAGAGCAAAGGCUCUGGGAGCAGACUGCCUGGGUUCAAAUCCCAGCUCUGCUA